CCUACGGGAGGCAGCAGUGAGGAAUAUUGGUCAAUGGGCGAGAGCCUGAACCAGCCAAGUAGCGUGCAGGAUGACGGCCCUAUGGGUUGUAAACUGCUUUUAUAAGGGAAUAAAGUGGGUCACGUGUGACUUUUUUGCAUGUACCUUAUGAAUAAGGACCGGCUAAUUCCGUGCCAGCAG
rnacentral:rRNA from 1 species